rnacentral:tRNA from 1 species
GCUCUCAUCCAGCUAGCGGUCUAGGCGGCCGGCCUUUCAAGCCGGAAACGCGGGUUCAAAUCCCGCUGGGAGCA